AUUGAACGCUGGCGGCAUGCCUUACACAUGCAAGUCGAACGGUAACAGGUCUUCGGAUGCUGACGAGUGGCGAACGGGUGAGUAAUACAUCGGAACGUGCCCGAUCGUGGGGGAUAACGGAGCGAAAGCUUUGCUAAUACCGCAUACGAUCUACGGAUGAAAGCAGGGGACCGCAAGGCCUUGCGCGGACGGAGCGGCCGAUGGCAGAUUAGGUAGUUGGUGGGAUAAAAGCUUACCAAGCCGACGAUCUGUAGCUGGUCUGAGAGGACGACCAGCCACACUGGGACUGAGACACGGCCCAGACUCCUACGGGAGGCAGCAGUGGGGAAUUUUGGACAAUGGGGGCAACCCUGAUCCAGCAAUGCCGCGUGAGUGAAGAAGGCCUUCGGUGUAAGCUCUUUGUUCAGGAAGAACAGCAGCUCUAACACAGUCUGCGAAUGACGGUACCUGAAGAAUAAGCACCGGCUAACUACGUGCCAG
rnacentral:rRNA from 1 species